UUUCUAAUUUAUUUACACAAAACUUAGUCUCUAUAUUAUAUAUUACCAGAGAUAUCGCCAAUUUGUAUAAAAUACUAAGUACUUAGUGAUAUUUCCAUUAAUUUCAGUAAGUUUCACUGCGCAGAACUAUACCAUAAUCCAGUGACAACACUUACCAAAGAAUAAUCUUGCAAUUUUAUGAAACGAUUAGCUUCCAAAAUGAAGAAAAACAAGAAUAAAAAGAAGAAAAGAAAACAGCCAGAUAUGAAAUGCGAAGACGUGGGAGCAGAGAGGUUCUACGUGCAGACUGACGAUGCAGGCAGUUACAGCAUAUGGGAAAUCUUAUGUUUACCCUACUCCAUGUGCUCGAAGGUAUGGGACUUCUGUUCGACCAUCUGCGCCGGCGCCAACCAAUGCAUGAUCUGCCUAAUGUGCAUCCAGUACUGUUGUUGCAAACUACAACGACUAACUACACCAGAUCCCAUCAUAUUCCCGUAUUAUUUCUACAUGUAUUGUCAAGUCAUUGUCUUAACCGUUGGAUUUCUUUUAAUCUGGUUCUUCUUUGGUAAAAGUGUAUUUUUGCCGUUUUUAAGAGCGGUUUAUGAAGCAUUCUUCCCACCGAAAGACUUGAUAAGAAACACUACAAGAGCGUCAUUUAGAAAGUAUUGUUUUAGGAAAGGUGAAGUAUUCAAUACGCCUAUAGCUCAAAACUCCGCGCCUUUGACAACCGGUUCAUCUGUGAUAACUUUUUUAAUAGAAGUUUUUUUAAACCAAGUUUUUCAAUAAAAAUGUGCAAAGAAA